rnacentral:rRNA from 1 species
UGGGGAAUUUUGCACAAUGGGGGAAACCCUGAUGCAGCGACGCCGCGUGAUUUAGAAGGCCUUCGGGUUGUAAAAAUCUUUUUUAUGGGAGGAAAAUGACAGUACCAUAAGAAUAAGGUCCGGCUAAAUACGUGCCAGCAGCCGCGGUAAUACGUAUGGACCGAGCGUUGUCCGGAAUCAUUGGGCGUAAAGGGUACGUAGGCGGGCCAGUAAGUUAGAAGUGAAAUAAUAUAGCUCAACUAUAUAAAGCUUUUAAAACUGCUAGGCUUGAGGGAUUGAAGGGAAAGUGGAAUUCCGAGUGUAGCGGUGAAAUGCGCAGAUAUUAGGAAGAAUACCGGGGGCGAAGGCGGCUUUCUGGACACAAACUGACACUGAGGUACGAAAGCGUGGGGAGCACACAGG